rnacentral:rRNA from 1 species
GAUGAACGCUAGCGGCAGGCUUAACACAUGCAAGUCGAGGGGUAUAGUUCUUCGGAACUAGAGACCGGCGCACGGGUGCGUAACGCGUAUGUAAUCUACCUUUUACAGGGGGAUAGCCCAGAGAAAUUUGGAUUAAUACCCCAUAGUAUGUUGUGGUGGCAUCACUAUAACAUUAAAGUUCCAACGGUACAAGAGUGGCAUGCGUCCCAUUAGCUAGAUGGUAAGGUAACGGCUUACCAUGGCUACGAUGGGUAGGGGUCCUGAGAGGGAGAUCCCCCACACUGGUACUGAGACACGGACCAGACUCCUACGGGAGGCAGCAGUGAGGAAUAUUGGACAAUGGGCGCAAGCCUGAUCCAGCCACGCCGCGUGCAGGAUGACGGUCCUAUGGAUUGUAAACUGCUUUUGUACAGGAAGAAACACUCCCUCGUGAGGGAGCUUGACGGUACUGUAAGAAUAAGGAUCGGCUAACUCCGUGCCAGCAGCCGCAGUAA